UCCUAACUUCCUAUGCUGGAGUUGGGGGCAGGUCCCAACUUCCUGUGGUGGAGACAGGGGCAGGUCCUAACUUCCUCACAUAGGAUGAGGACAAACCAUAACUUCCUGAGCUGGAGAUGAGGCAGUUUCCAACUUCCUGUGACAGGAUGGGGACAGGGACUAACGUCGUCCACGUCCUGAAUUCCAGGCCCAUCUACCCUGAAGGCGGCUGCCUUAGGCAGAGCCAGGGUGCAGAGCCCCACGGGACCUGGCGAGCACGUCCCAGGCAGCCCGGCCAUCUUGACUGUGUUUGGGUUCCCCUGCAGGAUAGGCAGCCAUGUCCUGCCUCGCCACCACAUCUCCCCUGGGGCUUGCUGACUGCCGAGCCUUGUGUGCUUAGACUUAUUUUACACUUGGCAUUUAUCGUUUACGGGGUCUUCUCCCUCCAGACUAUUUAUCCGGAUUGACAGGAAGCCUUUCGUUUACUUGGCUGUUACCACCCUGAGCCCUAGAACGACAGCCCUGGGGACGCGCCCCAGGGUGCCCAAGGCCUACAAGGGUCAGGAACGCCGACCAGGGCAGUCCUGCGUGGGACGGGCCCAGAGACAGAGGCGGGAAGGAAGGUUUUAGAAGUUGCUUUCUGAAAGUCAGACAGUAAAUUCCCAUAGAGGCUUGGAUUUUUGAAGAGGAAGAAAAGCGGACACCAAAUAGAAAAAACUCCAGCCUGCGGGCUCCCCCAGGGCGACCGAUCAGCCUCCAGCCUCCGCCUUCUAAUCCCGCCCCCACCCGGCCGCCAGAGUGCGUUCCCGUUCUCGGGUGGAAAUCUGGUUCUGUCCUCCCACUUCGGCUCCCCGACGGCGUCCUGCACAGAUGGCGGCACACGAGGAAGGGCCCCGGUGGCCUGGCCCGUACGCCAACGCUCCCCAAACGCCGACGCUGAACUCACUGGGCUCUCAGCAACUCUGACUACCCCCAGCUGCCUCCUUUGCCUGGCGCAGGGUCAGCAAACUGUGGCCCACAAGCCAAAUCUGGCCUGCGGCUUGUUUUACAAAUAAAGUUUUA